rnacentral:rRNA from 1 species
GGUUAUCGCAAGGGCGAUUUAUUUUGAGAUUUAAGAGGGCUUGCUGAAAGUAGGGGUUAGAAAAAUAUUUUAUAAAUUUGAGUAUGAAAAAAGAAAUAAAAUUUCAGCAAUAGUGUAGAGUACUGUGUAGGAAAAGUUGAAAUAUAUUUAAAGAGAUAUUAGUGGUGAAGUAUAGAUAAAAUUUAGUACCUUGUGUAUUAGGGAUAUUUUAUAUUAAAUAAUUAUAUUUAUUUUUCCCGAAAUAGAGAUAGCUAAAUUAAGAGGUGAGUUUUUGUGUCAAAAAAAUUCAUAAUUUUAUUUUAGUAGUGAAAUGUUAGUCGGGCUUUAAGAUAUCUGGUUUUUUUUGAAAAAAAUUUAAUUUUUUCUUUGUAUUUGAGGAAAAACAAAGCUUAGGUGUAGAGGGGUCAAGCUCUUUAUUCGAUGAUUAGGACUAUAGGGAUACAGGGAAGUGAUAGUUGAACUGGGCUUAGAGGCAGCUAAGUUUUCAAGGGGUUAUACCUGGAACGUGUAUAAAAAAUAUUUAUGUAUUCUUUAGGUAAAUAAGAAAAAUUUUUUAAAAGUUUAAUUUAAGGAUUUAAAAUGAAUAUAUUAGUAUAUAAGUGUUUUGAUUUAUAUUUUUAUUAGGGGAGUUAAUAAAUUUAUUGAAAUGUUUGGUAGGGUAAAGGAAUUCGGCAAAAGGUGUUUCCGCCUGUUUAUCAAAAACAUGUCUGUAUGAUAGCUAUAUAGAGUCUGGCCUGCCCGUUGGGGUCUGAAAGGCCGCGGUAUUAUGACCGUGCGAAGGUAGCAUAAUCAUUAGUCUUUUAAUUGAAGGCUGGAAUGAAGGGUUGGACGAGAAACAAGCUGUCUUUAUCUUAAAAAUUGAAUUUAACUUUUAAGUGAGAAGGCUUAAAUGGAUUAAAGGGACGAUAAGACCCUAUAAAGUUUAUAUACAGAACUAAUUAAAGAUAAUUAGGAAGAAUAAAAUUUAUUAUUAGGUAGGUAUUUAGUUGGGGCGACUAGGAUAUAAAUUAAUUUAACUGUUUUUAAUUAAGGUCAAAGAUAUUUGAGUUCGUGAUCCUUUUUUAGGAUUAAAGAAUAAGUUACUUUAGGGAUAACAGCGUAAUUUUUUUUGAGAGUUCUUAUCGACAAAAGAGUUUGCGACCUCGAUGUUGAAUUAAAAAUUUCUUUGUAGUGCAGCAAUUACAAGAGAAGGUCUGUUCGACCUUUAAAUUUUUACAUGAUUUGAGUUCAGACCGGCGAGAGCCAGGUUGGUUUCUAUCUUUUAAGAAAAAAGGAAUUAUUUUAGUACGAAAGGAUUAAAUAAUUGGAAUAAUUUUUAAAAAAAUUUAUGGUUAGAUUUAGACUGAUAAAUGAAUUUCAGGGAAAAAAGCUAAAGCUUUU